ACCAUUUCUGACUCCGUGUCUCCGUCUCCGCCAAUUCUGAUUCUCUCCGUCCCCGACUCUCCGUCUCCGCCUCUCCGGUCUCCCGUCUCCGAGUCUCUGUCUCCAAGCUCCAGGCCCAGAUUGGAGCUACUUUCAUGGCCAGGCGGCCAGCAGAAUCUAGAUGACUAGAUUGGGAAAAUCGAUCCCAUUGAUUUGCUAUGAUGCUUCUUUGCUUCGGUCAAUCUCGACCAAACGAUCACCUCAAUGAAAAUUGAAAUCGCUUGGUGAUUGUAUUCAGAUAUUCUUCUUCUUCAAUUCAUCAAUUGCCCCACCGAUUCAGCGAUUGUCAUCACCAAUUGUCGAGAACUGCUGCUUCAUAUGUGUAAGGUUAGUGUCGAGAAGCCCUCAGAAGCAGAGGGCCACAAU